CUUGCCGGAUAGGGAGGGAAGAGCUGCUCUAGGCCCCGCCCACCGAUGCCCAGAUUUAAAGGGGCCGUGCCAAGGAAUACAGAUCCUGGAGGGAAGCCAUUCCAGCUUUAGGGCCAAGAAAGAAAGAAAACAGCAAGAAGAUUUGAUCAGCCGAAGGUGACAAUAUAAAGAGAGAUAAGAGACAGAACGUGUCCCUGUAAGGAAUGGAGUCAGCGAAGCAAGAACCAGCCUCGAAGGCCCUUAAGUCAAUAUACCUCAAGCCCUUUCAAAAUCCAUAAAAGGAACCAUCAAAUAUCCAUUACCUGGGAAGAUGAGAAGAAAAAAGCCUUGAAUUUAAAACCUUGGUAAAAUAGAACCAGCUCCCAGCUUUCACUCCGGUGGGCUCUGGUAGGCAAAUCUUUCUCUGGUGUCUAGCUUCAUUCACAUCUGCAAUAAAACUCAUCUCUAGGUG